rnacentral:rRNA from 1 species
UACGAAGGGGGCUAGCGUUGUUCGGAUUUACUGGGCGUAAAGCGCACGUAGGCGGGUCGUUUAAGUCAGAGGUGAAAUCCCGGAGCUCAACUCCGGAACUGCCUUUGAUACUGGCGACCUUGAGGCUGGAAGAGGUUAGUGGAAUUCCCAGUGUAGAGGUGAAAUUCGUAGAUAUUGGGAAGAACACCAGUGGCGAAGGCGGCUAACUGGUCCAGAUCUGACGCUGAGGUGCGAAAGGCGUGGGGAGCAAACAGG